rnacentral:rRNA from 1 species
GCGCGCGAGUCGCAGGGCCGUACGAAACCCGAAGGCGAAACGAAAGUGAAGGCCGUUCCCGAGAACGGCUCGGGCGGGAUCCGCGGAGGAGAGAUCCGCCGCGGCGCACCGCCGGCCCGUCUCGGCCGCAACGUCGGCGAGGCGGAGCAGGAGCGCGCGCGUUGGGACCCGAAAGAUGGUGAACUAUGCCCGAGCAGGACGAAGCCAGAGGAAACUCUGGUGGAGGUCCGCAGCGAUUCUGACGU